ensembl:snRNA U6 U6 spliceosomal RNA
GGGUAGCAGCUCACAUACUAAAAUUGGAACAACACAAAUACAAAGAUUAGCCUGGCCCCUGCAAAAGGAUGACACAAAUUUGUGAAGCAUUCCAUGUUUUU